AGCGCUUAUCCUUCGGUGUCAAUGACACCGGAGUUUUUGUGUCGACCUCCAUCGCUCUCUCUGAGGCGCUGGAGGACCGAGAGUUAGGCGCCGAGACACGUGCCGCGGGCCUUGGGGUUCGUUUGAUUUUAGGGCCCUGCGGGGCUGGUGUCUGCAGGGCCGUCGAAGAGGGUGGAGCAGUACUGACUGCUUCCACCACGGGGGCGGGAGGAGUCACUGCGGCACCACUGCGCGUGGGCUCGGAGGACUCCGGAGGCCUCUGUGACGCUGCCCCCGCCUGCGUCACUUCGGCAUAACUUCUUCGGGGAAGCAAGGGCAGGACCGCGAAUAAGCUGGGUGAUCUCCCUUGCAGUUAACACAAUGUGGCGAAGAAGUGCAAUUCUCUGAUUGGUGGUCGUUGGAGCUGCAUUUAGCACAAGUUGUUUGUCCUCGGCAUGCAUGUGAAGCAUGUCCAAAUCUUUGGCACUUAAAACACCGUCUGGGAUUCGGGAUAUACGGUCUCACAUUGACUUUGACAUAACCUGCAUCGAGUGAAGUAGGCAUUACGCUUGUUCCGAAGGAGUUCCUCGUCGCUUAAACCAAUGAAGUCUUCUUCAGAUAUUACUCCCCUGCUUGUAUUAAGUGUUCUGUGGGCUGAAACAGUCACUGUCGCUUCGCCAAUACUGGUAAGUUCAGAGAGCUUAUCUGCUUGAUCUUUGUUAUUCAGUUCUAGGAGGAGGUCCCCGCUAGACAUUUUGGAUGCUUUGUAUGUUGGUCCGAUUUUGUCUUUCAGACACUUCGCUACCAGGAAAGGAGAGAGUUUCCUUACCGGAGUGUUGCUUUCACUAUGCACUACAUAGUACUUUGGAAAUGUUGGGGCGUUGCUUUGAAAGGAAAAUUGAAAUGGUACUUCGGUGCGGCAUCUCUUCAGACGCCGAUCAUAAACAACAGAGGCUUGCGCUGCCAUAGGAAAAUGUGUAUGUUCGGCAACAGCGCCGACCGCCCACCACGGAGCCCAACGAGGGGACGCGGCACAGCUUGUGUACAAGCCUGCACGACGCCAGCCGUACGCCAUCACUAUAACCCAAUAUGGUGUACCCAAGGUAGGAUAUCCACACAAGGUUAACCCUUGCCGCCGUGGAGGAAGGAAGUAAAUGGAAGAGAGAAGAAGACAGGAAAGAUGUAAAGUGAGAGAUAAAGACGAAGGUUUGAGAAGAGAGGGAGACAGGAAAAGGCGACUGCCGAUUUCCUCCAGGUGGGUCAGUCUGGAGGUGCCGUCUAUGUGAAGCUGAGGCCGAAGAGGUGUGUUGCCUCCGCCGGGGGGCCUUAAAGGUCCAAACACCCAGCUUCGGCUCAACCCCCAGGAUCCCCUUUUUCCCAGACACGGCUAAGCCGCGCACGGCUACACGCGGGAGGGUCCAACCCUCGUGUGCUCGGGUACGUGGUGUCGCAACACACCAAACGCCUGCUGACGCAGACGCCCCU
rnacentral:lncRNA from 1 species